rnacentral:rRNA from 1 species
GAUGAACGCUAGCUACAGGCUUUACACAUGCAAGUCGAGGGGCAGCAUGGUCUUAGCUUGCUAAGGCCGAUGGCGACCGGCGCACGGGUGAGUAACACGUAUCCAACCUGCCGUCUACUCUUGGACAGCCUUCUGAAAGGAAGAUUAAUACAAGAUGGCAUCAUGAGUCCGCAUGUUCACAUGAUUAAAGGUAUUCCGGUAGACGAUGGGGAUGCGUUCCGUUAGAUAGUAGGCGGGGUAACGGCCCACCUAGUCUUCGAUGGAUAGGGGUUCUGAGAGGAAGGUCCCCCACAUUGGAACUGAGACACGGUCCAAACUCCUACGGGAGGCAGCAGUGAGGAAUAUUGGUCAAUGGGCGCAGGCCUGAACCAGCCAAGUAGCGUGAAGGAUGACUGCCCUAUGGGUUGUAAACUUCUUUUAUAAAGGAAUAAAGUCGGGUAUGUAUACCCGUUUGCAUGUACUUUAUGAAUAAGGAUCGGCUAACUCCGUG